rnacentral:rRNA from 1 species
GACGAACGCUGGCGGCGUGCUUAACACAUGCAAGUCGAGCGGUAAGGCCCUUUCGGGGGUACACGAGCGGCGAACGGGUGAGUAACACGUGGGUGACCUGCCCUCAGCUCUGGGAUAAGCCUGGGAAACCGGGUCUAAUACUGGAUAUGACUCCAUGACGCAUGUUGUGGGGUGGAAAGCCUUGUGCGGCUGAGGAUGGGCCCGCGGCCUAUCAGCUUGUUGGUGGGGUGANGGCCUACCAAGGCGACGACGGGUAGCCGGCCUGAGAGGGCGACCGGCCACACUGGGACUGAGACACGGCCCAGACUCCUAUGGGAGGCAGCAGUGGGGAAUCUUGCGCAAUGGGCGAAAGCCUGACGCAGCGACGCCGCGUGAGGGAUGACGGCCUGGUU